UUAGUUAGAGUUAGUGCAGAGAUGAUCGAGGAAAUGUGUUGAGUGAGAGAGAUGAAGGAGAGAGGGUUGAGAGGAAUGAAAGAGGUGAGUAAGGGUUUGGGGUUUCUUUUUUUUUUUUUUUAAUUUUGAGAAUGAAAAUUAUUAAAAUAAGAAAAGUGUUUUUGAUUUUUUUCAAUUAGGGCUAGAGUAGGGAUGAUAGAGAAAAUGUUGGAGUGAAAGAGAUGAAAAAGAAAGGUUGAGAGGAAUGAGAGAGGUGGAUAAGGGAUUGGGGUUUUUUUUUUUUUUAUUUUUUUAAUUUUGAGAAUGAAAAUUAUUAAAAUACGUUUAACCUUAAAACUUAGAAUUCAUGAUAUAAGGG
rnacentral:lncRNA from 1 species